rnacentral:rRNA from 1 species
GGUGGGGUAAAGGCUCACCAAGGCAACGAUCCGUAGCUGGUUUGAGAGGACGACCAGCCACACUGGGACUGAGACACGGCCCAGACUCCUACGGGAGGCAGCAGUGGGGAAUUUUGGACAAUGGGGGAAACCCUGAUCCAGCCAUCCCGCGUGUAUGAUGAAGGCCUUCGGGUUGUAAAGUACUUUUGGCAGAGAAGAAAAG